GAUGAACGCUGGCGGCGUGCCUAACACAUGCAAGUCGAGCGAUUUACUUCGGUAAAGAGCGGCGGACGGGUGAGUAACGCGUGGGUAACCUGCCCUGUACACACGGAUAACAUACCGAAAGGUAUGCUAAUACGAGAUAAUAUGCUUUUGUCGCAUGGUAGAAGUAUCAAAGCUCCGGCGGUACAGGAUGGACCCGCGUCUGAUUAGCUAGUUGGUAAGGUAACGGCUUACCAAGGCGACGAUCAGUAGCCGACCUGAGAGGGUGAUCGGCCACAUUGGAACUGAGACACGGUCCAAACUCCUACGGGAGGCAGCAGUGGGGAAUAUUGCACAAUGGGCGAAAGCCUGAUGCAGCAACGCCGCGUGAGCGAUGAAGGCCUUCGGGUCGUAAAGCUCUGUCCUCAAGGAAGAUAAUGACGGUAC
rnacentral:rRNA from 1 species